UACAGAGGGGGCAAGCGUUGUUCGGAAUUACUGGGCGUAAAGGGCGCGUAGGCGGCCUUCUAAGUCGAACGUGAAAUCCCCGGGCUCAACCCGGGAACUGCGUCCGAUACUGGAAGGCUUGAAUCCGGGAGAGGGAUGUGGAAUUCCAGGUGUAGCGGUGAAAUGCGUAGAUAUCUGGAGGAACACCGGUGGCGAAGGCGGCAUCCUGGACCAUGACUGACGCUGAGGAGCGAAAGCCAGGGGAGCAAACGGG
rnacentral:rRNA from 1 species